rnacentral:rRNA from 1 species
CUACGCACUCCUACGGGAGGCAGCAGUGGGGAAUUUUGGACAAUGGGCGAAAGCCUGAUCCAGCCAUGCCGCGUGCAGGAUGAAGGCCUUCGGGUUGUAAACUGCUUUUGUACGGAACGAAAAGGUCUUUUCUAAUAAAGAAGGCUCAUGACGGUACCGUAAGAAUAAGCACCGGCUAACUACGUGCCAGCAGCCGCGGUAAUACGUAGGGUGCAAGCGUUAAUCGGAAUUACUGGGCGUAAAGCGUGCGCAGGCGGUUAUAUAAGACAGUUGUGAAAUCCCCGGGCUCAACCUGGGAACUGCAUCUGUGACUGUAUAGCUAGAGUACGGUAGAGGGGGAUGGAAUUCCGCGUGUAGCAGUGAAAUGCGUAGAUAUGCGGAGGAACACCGAUGGCGAAGGCAAUCCCCUGGACCUGUACUGACGCUCAUGCACGAAAGCGUGGGGAGCAAACAGGAUUAGAUACCCUGGUAG